GUGUCAAAGGCGGUUUCCAACAAGCAGAUUACCACAUAGGAAAUUAUUUGGAACUGGACAUUAAUGGGGGAAUUUAAGAGAUCAAGGAUCACUUAGACGCUCCCGAGGACAAGGACGACGUUUGGAUCGGAAGAAUGACUCAAAUGCAAAUAUUGCAUCCUUUCCACUAUAAAAAGUUACAUAAUUUAAGAGCCAUCGAUUUUCCAGCACCAACAGAAAAUUAUAUAUUUUAGGUCAUCGGUUGUAGUCUGUUGUUGGGGUCAAUAUAAACCAUUUAUUUUUCAA